UAAUCUUAGCGGCGGACGGGUGAGUAACGCGUAGGCAACCUGCCUUGCACAGAGGGAUAACACCGGGAAACUGGUGCUAAUACCACAUGAUAUCAUAACAAGGCAUCUUGAAAUGAUCAAAGGAGAAAUCCGGUGCAAGAUGGGCCUGCGUCCGAUUAGUUAGUUGGUGAGGUAACGGCUCACCAAGGCGACGAUCGGUAGCCGAACUGAGAGGUUGAUCGGCCACAUUGGGACUGAGACACGGCCCAGACUCCUACGGGAGGCAGCAGUGGGGAAUAUUGCGCAAUGGGGGGAACCCUGACGCAGCAACGCCGCGUGAAGGAAGAAGGCCUUCGGGUUGUAAACUUUUUUGAUUGGGGAAGAAAAAAAUGACGGUACCCAAGGAACAAGCCACGGCUAACUACGUGCCAGCAGCCGCGGUAAUACGUAGGUGGCGAGCGUUGUCCGGAAUUACUGGGUGUAAAGGGCGUGUAGGCGGGAUUGUAAGUCAGAUGUGAAAUUCCAGGGCUUAACUCUGGAGGUGCAUCUGAAACUAUAAUUCUUGAGUGCUGGAGAGGAAAGCGGAAUUCCUAGUGUAGCGGUGAAAUGCGUAGAUAUUAGGAAGAACACCAGUGGCGAAGGCGGCUUUCUGGACAGUAACUGACGCUGAGGCGCGAAAGCGUGGGGAGCAAACAGGAUUAGAUACCCUGGUAGUCCACGCUGUAAACGAUGGAUACUAGGUGUAGGAGGUAUCGACCCCUUCUGUGCCGGAGUUAACACAAUAAGUAUCCCACCUGGGGGAGUACGGCCGCAAGGCUGAAACUCAAAGGAAUUGACGGGGGCCCGCACAAGCAGUGGAGUAUGUGGUUUAAUUCGAAGCAACGCGAAGAACCUUACCAGGGCUUGACCUCCCUCGGAUAACAUAGAGAUAUGUUAGUCCUUCGGGACCGAGGAGACAGUUGGUGCAUGGUUGUCGUCAGCUCGUGUCGUGAGAUGUUGGCUUAAGUCCCGCAACGAGCGCAACCCCUAUUGUUAGUUGCCAUCAUUAAGUUGGCCACUCUAACGAGACUGCCGGUGACAAAUCGCAGGAAGGUGGGGACGACGUCAAAUCAUCAUGCCCCUUAUGUCCUGGGCUACACACGUACUACAAUGGUCACUACAAAGGGAAGCAAUACCGCAGGGAGGAGCAAAUCCCCAAAGGUGACCUCAGUUCGGAUUGUGGGCUGAAACCCGCCCACAUGAAGUCGGAAUUGCUAGUAAUGGCAGGUCAG
rnacentral:rRNA from 1 species